rnacentral:rRNA from 1 species
UACGGAGGAUCCGAGCGUUAUCCGGAUUUAUUGGGUUUAAAGGGUGCGUAGGUGGAUUGGUAAGUCAGUGGUGAAAGUUUGCAGCUUAACUGUAAAAGUGCCUUCGAAACUGGUUUCCUUGAGUGUAGAUGAAGUAGGCGGAAUUUGUGGUGUAGCGGUGAAAUGCAUAGAGAUCGGGAGGAACACCAGUGGCGAAGGCGGGUAACUGGACUGCAACUGACGCUGAGGCGCGAAAGUGUGGGGAGCAAACAGGAUUAGAUACCCGGGUAGUCCCUGAG